rnacentral:rRNA from 1 species
CCUACGGGUGGCAGCAGUGAGGAAUAUUGGUCAAUGGUCGUAAGCCUGAACCAGCCAAGUAGCGUGCAGGAUGACGGCCCUACGGGUUGUAAACUGCUUUUAUACGGGGAUAAAAUGCGUCACGUGUGUUGUUUUGCAUGUACCGCAUGAAUAAGGACCGGCUAAUUCCGUGCCAGCAGCCGCGGUAAUACGGAAGGUCCGGGCGUUAUCCGGAUUUAUUGGGUUUAAAGGGAGCGUAGGCCGCAUGUUAAGCGUGCCGUGAAAUGGCCGGGCUCAACCCGGGCACUGCGGCGCGAACUGGCGGGCUUGAGUGCGCGGAACGUAGGCGGAAUUCGUGGUGUAGCGGUGAAAUGCUUAGAUAUGACGAAGAACUCCGAUUGCGAAGGCAGCAUGCGGCAGCGGAACUGACGCUGAUGCUCGAAGGCGCGGGUAUCGAACAGGAUUAGAUACCCGGGUAGUC